UACGUAGGGUGCGAGCGUUGUCCGGAAUUAUUGGGCGUAAAGGGCUCGUAGGCGGUUUGUCGCGUCGGGAGUGAAAACACCGGGCUUAACUCGGUGCUUGCUUUCGAUACGGGCAGACUAGAGGCAUGCAGGGGAGAACGGAAUUCCUGGUGUAGCGGUGAAAUGCGUAGAUAUCAAGAGGAACACCAGUGGCGAAGGCGAGUCCCUGGACAACACCUGACACUGAGGCACGAAAGCCGGGGGAGCAAACAGG
rnacentral:rRNA from 1 species